AAAGCAUAUUACAAGCUAAAACUAUAUAAAGAAGACGAAAGAGCUUAAUGAUGAAAGGGAAAAGCAUGGCUUUGCUUUUCAUGUGUUCACACCUAUGACUUUGCUUCUACUUGCAUGUGAUGUGCUGCAUGGUAUGUGCAUGAAGUGCACUGCCUAUAUAUCGGCAAACAAGGCAGCAAACAAGGAAAGAAAAGGAAAGUGAAAGCAAAAAGGAAAAUCAAAAGUAAAAGUUGUAGUGGUUGGUUAAUGAUGAAAGCAGAUUGCAGCAAAGUGGAAGGCAUCUAUGUACAGGAAGGUGGACAACAAAGUAGACAGCAUGUGAUAUAUUCCAAUAAUUUUAGACUCAAUACGUUCAAAACACCUCAUUUACAUAUUGAGCAGUCUCUGUUUCACUUUGCAUGUUCGAGAUUGAGCAAACUUCUUGGCCUGUGGCUGGACUCGAUCCAAUCAGCUCCUUCAGCUCUCUUUCCUGUUGAAAUCCUCAAGAGAAGCUCAUCUUUUUUUGUUAGUUUUUGGCUUGACAUCGUGGUGGAAUCUUGUGAAGUGGUGGUUGCUACAAGGUUGCAUUGAGGCCAAGUGCUGCAAGAGAAAGCUCGAGUUCCAGGAGAGGUCAGUUCCUCCUUGAGCCACCGGUGGUGGGCAGUGUGCACCAUGCCCUUGUUAUCUCCCCUUUGUCUCUAGCCUUGUGAUUAAUGAAUUCCGGAAAGUGAUUGGCUAGAUGGACGGUUGUGAUGGAAGUGUGAAAGAUGAUCAAUUGCCGUGGGAUUGUAGUUACGUGGUGACGAUCACGUGGAAGCGCAAACCGGUUUUAUCUACUUCUUUUAUUCAAAACAAUAACUCAUGUUUUUAAACUUAGAUAUGGGGGCGGGCAUGGGCAAUGACUGGAUGUAGGAGCCUAACCCCUACUUUAGUUUGUUUUGCAGGCUGUUGUUGUUGAAGCUUGGGCACGGAGGAUAAUCCUUGGAGGACACAAUUUGUUUUACUAUAUUUAAAGUUUAUUUCCUUUCGGCUUGCUUGAUUUCACUAAAGUUUUGUAACA